rnacentral:rRNA from 1 species
AUUGAACGCUGGCGGCAGGCCUAACACAUGCAAGUCGAACGAGUGGCGGACGGGUGAGUAAUGUCUGGGAAACUGCCUGAUGGAGGGGGAUACCUACUGGAAACGGUAGCUAAUCCCGCAUACCAUCUGAUUUGCCCAGAUGUGAUUCGCUAGUAGGUGGGGUAACGGCUCACCUAGGCGACGAUCCCUAGCUGUUCUGAGAGGAUGACCAGCCACACUGGAACUGAGACACGGUCCAGACUCCUACGGGAGGCAGCAGUGGGGAAUAUUGCACAAUGGGCGCAAGCCUGAUGCAGCCAUGCCGCGUGUAUGAAGAAGGCCUUCGGGUUGUAAAGUACUUUCAGCGGGGAGGCGUUACCCGCAGAAGAAGCACCGGCUAACUCCGUGCCAGCAGCCGCGGUAAUAC